rnacentral:hammerhead_ribozyme from 1 species
GUAGUGCUGAUGAGUCCCAGACUAGGACGAAACAGCUGUCCAGUAC